AGAGUUUGAUCCUGGCUCAGGACGAACGCUGGCGGCAUGCCUAACACAUGCAAGUCGAGCGAUGAAGCUUCUUCGGAAGUGGAUUAGCGGCGGACGGGUGAGUAACACGUGGGCAACCUGCCUCAUAGUGGGGAAUAGCCUCUCGAAAGGGAGAUUAAUACCGCAUAAGAUUGUAGUUCCGCAUGGAACAGCAAUUAAAGGAUUUAUUCGCUAUGAGAUGGGCCCGCGGCGCAUUAGCUAGUUGGUAGGGUAAAGGCCUACCAAGGCGACGAUGGGUAGCCGACCUGAGAGGGUGAUCGGCCACACUGGGACUGAGACACGGCCCAGACUCCUACGGGAGGCAGCAGUGGGGAAUAUUGCACAAUGGAGGGAACUCUGAUGCAGCAACGCCGCGUGAGUGAAGAAGGUUUUCGGAUCGUAAGACUCUGUCAUUGGGGAAGAAUAAAUGACGGUACCCAAUGAGGAAGCCCCGGCUAACUACGUGCCAGCAGCCGCGGUAAUACGUAGGGGGCGAGCGUUGUCCGGAAUUACUGGGCGUAAAGGGUACGUAGGCGGCUAUAUAAGUCAGGUGUGAAAUACCAGUGCUUAACACUGGAAUUGCAUUUGAAACUGUGUAGCUUGAGUGCAGGAGAGGAAAGUGGAAUUCCUAGUGUAGCGGUGAAAUGCGUAGAGAUUAGGAGGAACACCAGUGGCGAAGGCGACUUUCUGGACUGUAACUGACGCUGAGGUACGAAAGCGUGGGUAGCGAACAGGAUUAGAUACCCUGGUAGUCCACGCCGUAAACGAUGGAUACUAGGUGUAGGGGGUAUCGACCCCCCCUGUGCCGGAGUUAACGCAAUAAGUAUCCCGCCUGGGGAGUACGGUCGCAAGACUGAAACUCAAAUGAAUUGACGG
rnacentral:rRNA from 1 species